rnacentral:rRNA from 1 species
CCUACGGGAGGCAGCAGUGAGGAAUAUUGGUCAAUGGGCGCUAGCCUGAACCAGCCAAGUAGCGUGAAGGAUGACUGCCCUAUGGGUUGUAAACUUCUUUUAUAUGGGAAUAAAGUGCAGUAUGUAUACUGCUUUGCAUGUACCUUAUGAAUAAGGAUCGGCUAACUCCGUGCCAGCAGCCGCGGUAAUACGGAGGAUCCGAGCGUUAUCCGGAUUUAUUGGGUUUAAAGGGCGCGUAGGCGGUUUGUUAAGUCAGUUGUGAAAGUUUGCGGCUCAACCGUAAAAUUGCAGUUGAUACUGGCAGCCUUGAGUACAGUAGAGGUAGGCGGAAUUCGUGGUGUAGCGGUGAAAUGCUUAGAUAUCACGAAGAACUCCGAUUGCGAAGGCAGCCUGCUGGACUGUAACUGACGCUGAUGCUCGAAAGUGUGGGUAUCAAACAGGAUUAGAUACCCUUGUAGUC